UUGAACGCUGGCGGCAGGCCUAACACAUGCAAGUCGAGCGGUAGCACAGAGAGCUUGCUCUCGGGUGACGAGCGGCGGACGGGUGAGUAAUGUCUGGGAAACUGCCUGAUGGAGGGGGAUAACUACUGGAAACGGUAGCUAAUACCGCAUAACGUCGCAAGACCAAAGUGGGGGACCUUCGGGCCUCAUGCCAUCAGAUGUGCCCAGAUGGGAUUAGCUAGUAGGUGGGGUAACGGCUCACCUAGGCGACGAUCCCUAGCUGGUCUGAGAGGAUGACCAGCCACACUGGAACUGAGACACGGUCCAGACUCCUACGGGAGGCAGCAGUGGGGAAUAUUGCACAAUGGGCGCAAGCCUGAUGCAGCCAUGCCGCGUGUGUGAAGAAGGCCUUCGGGUUGUAAAGCACUUUCAGCGGGGAGGAAGGCGAUAAGGUUAAUAACCUUGUCGAUUGACGUUACCCGCAGAAGAAGCACCGGCUAACUCCGUGCCAGCAGCCGCGGUAAUACGGAGGGUGCAAGCGUUAAUCGGAAUUACUGGGCGUAAAGCGCACGCAGGCGGUCUGUCAAGUCGGAUGUGAAAUCCCCGGGCUCAACCUGGGAACUGCAUUCGAAACUGGCAGGCUAGAGUCUUGUAGAGGGGGGUAGAAUUCCAGGUGUAGCGGUGAAAUGCGUAGAGAUCUGGAGGAAUACCGGUGGCGAAGGCGGCCCCCUGGACAAAGACUGACGCUCAGGUGCGAAAGCGUGGGGAGCAAACAGGAUUAGAUACCCUGGUAGUCCACGCCGUAAACGAUGUCGAUUUGGAGGUUGUGCCCUUGAGGCGUGGCUUCCGGAGCUAACGCGUUAAAUCGACCGCCUGGGGAGUACGGCCGCAAGGUUAAAACUCAAAUGAAUUGACGGGGGCCCGCACAAGCGGUGGAGCAUGUGGUUUAAUUCGAUGCAACGCGAAGAACCUUACCUGGUCUUGACAUCCACAGAACUUUCCAGAGAUGGAUUGGUGCCUUCGGGAACUGUGAGACAGGUGCUGCAUGGCUGUCGUCAGCUCGUGUUGUGAAAUGUUGGGUUAAGUCCCGCAACGAGCGCAACCCUUAUCCUUUGUUGCCAGCGGUUAGGCCGGGAACUCAAAGGAGACUGCCAGUGAUAAACUGGAGGAAGGUGGGGAUGACGUCAAGUCAUCAUGGCCCUUACGACCAGGGCUACACACGUGCUACAAUGGCAUAUACAAAGAGAAGCGACCUCGCGAGAGCAAGCGGACCUCAUAAAGUAUGUCGUAGUCCGGAUUGGAGUCUGCAACUCGACUCCAUGAAGUCGGAAUCGCUGGUAAUCGUAGAUCAGAAUGCUACGGUGAAUACGUUCCCGGGCCUUGUACACACCGCCCGUCACACCAUGGGAGUGGGUUGCAAAAGAAGUAGGUAGCUUAACCUUCGGGAGGGCGCUUACCACUUUGUGAUUCAUGACUGGGGUG
rnacentral:rRNA from 1 species